UGCGUAGGCGGGUUAAUAAGUCAGUGGUGAAAUCCCUCAGCUCAACUGAGGAACUGCCAUUGAUACUGUUAGUCUUGAGUAUAGUUGAGGUGGGCGGAAUGUGUCAUGUAGCGGUGAAAUGCAUAGAUAUGACACAGAACACCGAUUGCGUAGGCAGCUCACUAAACUAUCACUGACGCUGAUGCACGAAAGCGUGGGUAGCGAACAGGAUUAGAUACCCUGGUAGUCC
rnacentral:rRNA from 1 species